CAUUGCAAACAUGUGGUCAUUCUCUUUUGCUUCUGAACAUUGUGAGGGGAAGACGUAUACUGGUGCUGGCUCCCUUUUAUAGCCCUUCACUGCGGAGAAACGAAUCUUCGGCUUUCUUGAUGAGAUCACGCAACUCCAUCCCAUGUCAACCCUGUCCAUUGGAUAACAGCCUCCAUAUUUAAAUCGACUUAUAUGAACGCUAUGCAGCAAUGAUCAUAUAGGGAACGCUAUCCUGAAUUAAUUAUUGUUCUCCAACAAUACGCGUUUGAUAGCAACGUACCAUAUUCGUUGAUGAGCGGACAAUCUUCUUCUUCUUUAUAAACGACCGGUCUUAUUAAUAUAAAUCGUAGUGGGCCCUUAAGUAUAUUAUGUUUGUUUAUUUGAUUAUCUGUAAAAGUAUAUCUCAUGCCUUAGCUUUAUCCACCCUUCGGAUAAGCAGAUUAAAGGUGAAACAGUAAAUCAA